GGUUAAGCGACUAAGCGUACACGGUGGAUGCCCUGGCAGUCAGAGGCGAUGAAGGACGUGCUAAUCUGCGAAAAGCGCCGGCGAGGUGAUAUGAACCUUUGACCCGGCGAUGUCCGAAUGGGGAAACCCAGUGCAAUUCGUUGCACUAUCGUUAACUGAAUACAUAGGUUAACGAGGCGAACCGGGGGAACUGAAACAUCUAAGUACCCCGAGGAAAAGAAAUCAACCGAGAUUCCCCCAGUAGCGGCGAGCGAACGGGGAGCAGCCCGGAGUCUGAAUCAGCUUGUGUGUUAGUGGAACGGUCUGGAAAGUCCGACGGUACAGGGUGAUAGUCCCGUACACGAAAGCACACAUGCUGUGAACUCGAAGAGUAGGGCGGGACACGUGGUAUCCUGUCUGAAUAUGGGGGGACCAUCCUCCAAGGCUAAAUACUCCUGACUGACCGAUAGUGAACCAGUACCGUGAGGGAAAGGCGAAAAGAACCCCGGCGAGGGGAGUGAAAAAGAACCUGAAACCGU
rnacentral:rRNA from 1 species